rnacentral:rRNA from 1 species
CCUACGGGUGGCAGCAGUGGGGAAUAUUGGACAAUGGGCGAAAGCCUGAUCCAGCCAUGCCGCGUGUGUGAAGAAGGCCUUCGGGUUGUAAAGCACUUUCAGUGGGGAAGAAAGCCUUGGGGCUAAUACCCUCGAGGAAGGACAUCACCCACAGAAGAAGCACCGGCUAACUCCGUGCCAGCAGCCGCGGUAAUACGGAGGGUGCGAGCGUUAAUCGGAAUUACUGGGCGUAAAGCGCGCGUAGGCGGUCUGAUAAGCCGGUUGUGAAAGCCCCGGGCUCAACCUGGGAACGGCAUCCGGAACUGUCAGGCUAGAGUGCAGGAGAGGAAGGUAGAAUUCCCGGUGUAGCGGUGAGAUGCGUAGAGAUCGGGAGGAAUACCAGUGGCGAAGGCGGCCUUCUGGACUGACACUGACGCUGAGGUGCGAAAGCGUGGGUAGCAAACAGGAUUACAUACCCGAGUAGUC